AUAUCUAUAGUAUAACUCAUUACCUUAACUUUUCACGUUAAAAAUUCAUAUUUUAUGGUAGAUAUC
rnacentral:tRNA from 1 species